UUUUCAGUGUCGCAGCGAAAGCGAUAAACACACCGCCUGGGGAGUACGACCGCAAGGUUAAAACUCAAAUGAAUUGACGGGGACCCGCACAAGUAGUGGAGCAUGUGGUUUAAUUCGAAGAUACGCGCAGAACCUUACCAACACUUGACAUGUUCGUCGCGACUCUAAGAGAUUAGAGUUUUCGGUUCGGCCGGACGAAACACAGGUGCUGCAUGGCUGUCGUCAGCUCGUGUCGUGAGAUGUUGGGUUAAGUCCCGCAACGAGCGCAACCCUCACUUUUAGUUGCCAUCAUUUAGUUGGGCACUCUGAAAGAACUGCCAGUGAUAAGCUGGAGGAAGGUGGGGAUGACGUCAAGUCCUCAUGGCCCUUACGUGUUGGGCUACACACGUGCUACAAUGGCAUUUACAAUAGGAAGCAAGGUGGCGACAUCAAGCAAAUCCUAAAAAAAUGCCUCAGUUCGGAUUGUACUCUGCAACUCGAGUACAUGAAGCUGGAAUUACUAGUAAUCGCGGAUCAGCGCGCCGCGGUGAAUACGUUCCCGGGUCUUGUACACACCGCCCGUCACACCAUGGGAGUUGGUUCUACCUUAAGGCAAGGUUUAAAACCCUUGACUACGGUAUAGUCAGCGACUGGGGUGAAGUCGUAACAAGGUAGCCGUAGGGGAACCUGCGGCUGGAUUACCUCCUU
rnacentral:rRNA from 1 species